UGGCUCUGGCAUCGAUGAAGAACGCAGCGAAAUGCGAUAAGUAAUGUGAAUUGCAGAAUUCAGUGAAUCAUCGAAUCUUUGAACGCACAUUGCGCCUGCCAGUACUCUGGCGGGCAUGCCUGUUCGAGCGUCAUCUCACCCCUCAAGCCGGCCUCCCCUGGCUGGCUUGGCGUUGGGGACCAGCAGCACCUGCUGGCCCUGAAAGCCAGUGGCGGCACCGCUGCGGCCUCCGUCGCGCAGUAGCUAACCUCGCCCUGGAGAGCAGCGGCUGCCCUGCCGUCAAGCACGCGACGACGUACUCUUUCACGUCUGACCUCGAAUCAGGUAGGAAUACCCGCUGA
rnacentral:misc_RNA from 1 species